AUUGAACGCUGGCGGCAGGCGUAACACGUGCAAGUCGAGCGGGGUGAUGGUGCUUGCACUAUCACUUAGCGGCGGACGGGUGAGUAAUGCUUAGGAAUCUGCCUAUUAGUGGGGGACAACAUCUCGAAAGGGAUGCUAAUACCGCAUACGUCCUACGGGAGAAAGCAGGGGAUCACUUGUGACCUUGCGCUAAUAGAUGAGCCUAAGUCGGAUUAGCUAGUUGGUGGGGUAAAGGCCUACCAAGGCGACGAUCUGUAGCGGGUCUGAGAGGAUGAUCCGCCACACUGGGACUGAGACACGGCCCAGACUCCUACGGGAGGCAGCAGUGGGGAAUAUUGGACAAUGGGGGGAACCCUGAUCCAGCCAUGCCGCGUGUGUGAAGAAGGCCUUAUGGUUGUAAAGCACUUUAAGCGAGGAGGAGGCUCUUUUGGUUAAUACCCAAGAUGAGUGGGCGUUACUCGCAGAAUAAGCACCGGCUAACUCUGUGCCAGCCGCCGCCGUAA
rnacentral:rRNA from 1 species